rnacentral:misc_RNA from 1 species
GAUGAAGAACGUAGCAAAAUGCGAUAAGUAGUGUGAAUUGCAGAAUUCAGUGAAUCAUCGAAUCUUUGAACGCACAUUGCGCCCGCCAGUAUUCUGGCGGGCAUGCCUGUCUGAGCGUCAUUUCAACCCUCAUGCCCCUAGGGCGUGGUGUUGGGGAUCGGCCAAAGCCCGCGAGGGACGGCCGGCCCCUAAAUCUAGUGGCGGACCCGUCGUGGCCUCCUCUGCGAAGUAGUGAUAUUCCGCAUCGGAGAGCGAUGAGCCCCUGCCGUUAAACCCCCAACUUUCCAAGGUUGACCUCAGAUCAGGUAGGAAUACCCGCUGAACUUAAGCAUAUCAAUAAGCGGAGGA